GGCAUGGUGUAGUGGUUUGAGGGCUGGACUGAUAUUCUGGAGACCAGGGUUCAAAUCCUGGCUCAGCCA